UUGGUUAAUAAAAUUGUGGUUGCUUUCUUUGUUUAUAAAGAAAGCCUUUUUAGUACGCUCAAAUUGUGUUCCUGAUUAAAUGUCCGCAUAAGAAAACUGGAUUAUGUUGUUGUAUAUGUAACACAUGUGUAUUGCAUUAAAAUGAUUAUGCAUCAUAUUGUUAUAACAGUGAAUAGAAUAUUGUCAUUAUAAAAUAAUAAUUAUGUAAAUUUGUAAUAUUGGGUGCCUCAGAAUCUUGCGCUAAUUGACCUUAGACUUUAACUUUGUUUUUAUGUUGAAAAAAGUAAUCUUACAGUUGAAUCUUUAACGAUCUUCUACAAAUGAAGUCACAAUGUUGCUGAAGCGAUUGUCUUUGCUGUGACAUGAACAUUUAGUUGUCUCUAUUCAUUUAUUUAAAAAAAAAACAAAAAACAAUCGCGCAAGAAAGUGGUGAUCAGAUGAAUCGGCUUGAAAGCGGCGAGAGGAAGUUAGCCGAUAUCAGACCGACAAAACAUAUGAUGCUAAAACAUCGCGUCCCUUUAAAAUCCGAUAAUGUGCCGAUAAAGCUAUAUCUGUUUGAUACCGGUCUGAUGUGUAAGUGCUAGCUUGGAGGUAAGAGCCAUUCGAUGAAUAUAUUGCAGAACGAGAGAGUGUCAAUUGUAGAUAAUACUGCGACUGAAGUUAAGUUUAUGCAACAGUGCCAUGCAAGUUGUAAUGUGUAGCAACAAUGCAGUCAUGGCGCGCAAACGUAUAUCAUUUACGCCGACAAAUGGAUUGUACUGUCGGUGGAAUAUGUUCCAAAGACGUUUGCUGUGAAGUCCUCGAGAAUCCCUUAAUCUGAUGUUCAACGCAGCUGAAUUACUCAUAGGGUUGGUGGCGGGAAAGAUCACAAGAAUCUGACCUUGUAUUUGUCGACCUCAGGAUAUGAUUUUUUCUAAGAUAGACUUGAAUAAAAACUAUAAAAGACUAUUAUGAAGAUUAUUUUCUCAUAUACUUAUUUCUUCUUAAAACAAUUCUGCAUUUUACAACAUAUUUCAUUCAUAUACAAAUUAAGAGUAAUUAAAAAGCAAAUUUGUUCUUGCAUAGUUUAUAUUACUUGUAAAGAAUACAAUGUUUGCAGACGUGUGAUCAUUAAUCAGGUCAGGUUGGAGUUGCAUCAAUCAGUGUUUUGUUACGAACAGGAAGUUUAUGAUAUGUUUGUUAGUCAUAU